AAUGAACGCUGGCGGCAUGCCUAACACAUGCAAGUCGAACGAAGGCUUCGGCCUUAGUGGCGCACGGGUGCGUAACGCGUGGGAAUCUGCCCUCAGGUUCGGAAUAACAGCGAGAAAUUGCUGCUAAUACCGGAUGAUAUCGCGAGAUCAAAGAUUUAUCGCCUGAGGAUGAGCCCGCGUAGGAUUAGCUAGUUGGUGUGGUAAAGGCGCACCAAGGCGACGAUCCUUAGCUGGUCUGAGAGGAUGAUCAGCCACACUGGGACUGAGACACGGCCCAGACUCCUACGGGAGGCAGCAGUGGGGAAUAUUGGACAAUGGGCGAAAGCCUGAUCCAGCAAUGCCGCGUGAGUGAUGAAGGCCCUAGGGUUGUAAAGCUCUUUUACCCGGGAUGAUAAUGACAGUACCGGGAGAAUAAGCUCCGGCUAACUCCGUGCCAGCAGCCGCGGUAAUACGGAGGGAGCUAGCGUUAUUCGGAAUUACUGGGCGUAAAGCGCACGUAGGCGGCUUUGUAAGUUAGAGGUGAAAGCCUGGAGCUCAACUCCAGAAUUGCCUUUAAGACUGCAUCGCUUGAAUCCAGGAGAGGUGAGUGGAAUUCCGAGUGUAGAGGUGAAAUUCGUAGAUAUUCGGAAGAACACCAGUGGCGAAGGCGGCUCACUGGACUGGUAUUGACGCUGAGGUGCGAAAGCGUGGGGAGCAAACAGG
rnacentral:rRNA from 1 species